rnacentral:lncRNA from 1 species
CCAGUUUCGCUGAAGAAAGUGUUGAACGCGUCAUCACCUCCUCCGACAGUCUUGUCACUUGGCAUCUGGCCAUCAGGCUUUGGAAAACAGAAGACAGAAUUUUAGCAAAAUCAUAAUUACGUUUAAACAGCAGGAAAAAGUUUCAUGUCUGCUCCAUAGGACAACAAACCAAUCUAGUUUGCAAAGACAACCAGUUGGAAAAGUGCCAAGGCAGGGACAUCAAACUUGAAAGUAACCAAGUAUCAAAACAAGUUAGUCUCAAGGAACACUAUUGAAGCAUCAUAUAUAAAAUCAAACAUAAGUGGUUCCAAAUCAAAUGUAAUACAAAUAUUCAUCUAUUUAAUAAAGAAUCAAGUACAUGCAAAAUAUACUUAUCUAUAUAAUUUUUUUGAGGAUGUAUACUUAUUUCUACAUCAACUCCUAAAAGACACGUUCAUCUCAUAAAUUAUACAAUCAGAUGUACCUAUUAAAUCAGUUCCACUUUCGAAUCAAACCUACUAUGGAUCCAACGAGCAAAUAUUCCAUCAGAUCUACUGGAAAACCCCACAUUUCUACAACAGAGUGUCUCUGAUCCUAUAUAUAAAUUACUCAAUCAUAUCUACAGGAUGUUGUUUUUCCAUGUCCGAAAUCAAUCGGACAGUUAUCAAACAUACAUCUAGAAUAUUCUAGCCGAUCUAGAACAGAACAGUUAUCACAUUUCUACACCAGAGCAGUUAUCUCGUGUCCAGAUCUACAGAUUUUUUCACAUUUGGAAUUAAUAGGACAAUUUUCAAACUUCAACAACAACAACAACAACAACAACAAUAUACCCAGUGUAUUCCCACAUGCAAUUAUCAAACUUAAAUCUAAAUUAUGAUACCAGAUCUACUUUAAACAACUCACAUUACCAGUCAAUAAGACAAAUUCUAUAUCAAUCAGAUCUAUUGAAAAACAAAUCACCUAAAAAGAAAUUAUUCGACCAGAUCUGCAAAAUAUUUCACAUUUUCAACCAUUUACGAAGCAAAACAUACAGAUAAUGCGAUUUGAAUCAAAACAUAUGUAGCCUAAUUCAACCAGAUUUAGACUGCAAGAUAUUUCACAUUUUCUACAAUUAAAAUGAAGCAAAACACACAAAUCAACAGAAAAUAUGAUUAAGAUAAUUAAAAAAAAAAACGAAAGAAACUCGCAAAUAAAAAACAGAAAAUGUGAUUCAGAUAAAAAAAAAAAAAAAAAAAAAAACCCCCCUUUCCCAAAAAAAAAUUAAAAAAUUAAAAUUAUACAAUUAGAUCUACGAAACAUUUCAGGUUUUCAACAAUUAAAAUGAAGCAAAAAAAAAAAAGCACAAAUCAAACACAUAGAAGGUAACUAAAGUGAAAAAAAAAAUAAGAUUAAGGAAAUCAAAAGAAAAAAUCAAACAGAUCAACAAAUUUCUUCACAUUUUCAACGAUAUAAACGACGCAAAACACACAAAUCAAACACAUAAAACGUGAUUAUGAUUCAAAAAGAAACAUAUUCAAGCAGAUCUACAAAUUACUUCACAUUUUCAACAAUUUAACAGAAGCAAAAACACAAAAUCUGACUAAUCUUUUAGAAAAAAUACCUGAAUGCCGUGCUCGAGACAGUAAAGUUCCCAACAAGCAUUUCCAACCUGAAUACCAGCCUGACCAAUGUGAAUAGAAAUGCAUUCUCUCAUUUUCGCUACAGCAAAAACUUCGAAACCCUAAAAUUUAGUUGAAGGAAGAAGAGAAUAACGGCGUUUAUCAAGACGCCGUUUCAAAAAGAGAAAAAGGAAUUGAGAGUUUCGAAAAUUUUUGAAUUGUGAGAUUCGUAAAAUGUGAGGGGGGCGUCUCUUUUUUAUAGGAAAAAAAUGAAAAAUGAAUGAGAGGAGGGCAAAAUGGGUAUCGGGUUAGUUAUUAACUAUGGUUAAUAUUGUUUCCGAUAAUUUCGAGGUUAAUAUUUACCGUAGAUUAGGUUGGGCUAUGUUUAUAGUACAGCCCGCCCCGCUCUAUUUUGAAUUAUUUUGAAUUGUUGUGGAAAAGGAG